rnacentral:rRNA from 1 species
AUUGAACGCUGGCGGCAUGCUUUACACAUGCAAGUCGAACGGCAGCGCGGUCUUCGGCCUGGCGGCGAGUGGCGAACGGGUGAGUAAUACAUCGGAACGUGCCCAGUAGUGUGUGAUAGCGCGGUGAAAGCGGGAUUAAUACCGCAUACCAGCAUAGGGAGAAAGCGGGGGAGCUUCGGACCUUGCGCUAUUGGGGGGGUCGAUGGCAGAUUAGCUAGUUGGUGGGGUAAAGGCCUACCAAGGCGACGAGCUGUAGCUGGUCUGAUAGGACGACCAGCCACACUGGAACUGAGACACGGCCCAGACUCCUACGGGAGGCAGCAGUGGGGAAUUUUGGACAAUGGGCGAAAGCCUGAUCCAGCAAUGCCGCGUGUGUGAUGAAGGCCUUCGGGUUGUAAAGCACUUUUGGCGGGAACGAAAAGCACUGUGCUAAUACCACGGUUCGAUGACGGUACCCACAGAAUAAGCACCGGCUAACUACGUG